rnacentral:rRNA from 1 species
GGCAACGGGUGAGUAACAUGUAGGUAUCUGCCCUUUGGCCUGGAAUAACACGAGGAAACUUGUGCUAAUACCGGAUAAGUCUUUACGGAGAAAGCUUUAUGCACCAUUGGAUGAGCCUGCACUUGAUUAGUUUGUUGGUGGGGUAAUGGCCUACCAAGACUGUGAUCAAUAGCUGAUUUGAGAGGAUGAUCAGCCACAUUGGGACUGAGACACGGCCCAAACUCCUACGGGAGGCAGCAGUGGGGAAUCUUGCACAAUGGAGGAAACUCUGAUGCAGCGAUGCCGCGUGAGUGAAGAAGGCCCUUGGGUUGUAAAGCUCUUUCGUCGGGGAAGAAAAUGACUGUACCCGAAUAAGAAGGUCCGGCUAACUUCGUGCCAGCAGCCGCGGUAAUACGAAGGGACCUAGCGUAGUUCGGAAUUACUGGGCUUAAAGAGUUC